AUUAUAUUUCACUAUUCAAAAUGUGAAAAACAUGCUUAUUCUUCAAUCAAACACAUGAACAUGUUUCAAAUGAUCUUACAGCUGCUUGUGGGGCUUUAAAUGUUACUAAACACAAUUAAACACUGGAAAAUAUCAUCAUUUCCUUCUAAAGUCUCCUCAUACUGUAUUGAUGACUCUACACCAAAUCUGGCCAAUCAAAUGCUUUGCACAGAAAGUCCCUCCCCCAACAAACAUGCUACAGACCAGCAGCACAACAAACACACUUUCUGGACUCUCUACUGGAAAUAUGAGCUCAUAAAUACCUUUCCUGGAGCUGUGAAUCCGCCUGGAUGUGGAGGAGCGUCAGAUGUUGAGCGCAGGUCAAAGAUCUGCAGCAGAAACACAACAGACACACGUGUGUAUCUUCACUGCUGCAGAGGAGAGAGAGAGAGCAAUGAGUGAACACAAACACUACAACAACAUCACUACAAACUAAACCAACGGAACAAAGUCCCUUACAGGAUCAGUGAAGUGUUGUGGACUGUAAGCCUGUUGAACAGAAGCAAAGACGUGUGGACAGACGCUGACUGUACUGAUGAUGAUCAUCUGCUGCUGCACAGGCUGUAAAGUAUAACCCCUGCUGGACAUGUCUCUGGAAGCUCCAGGGGGAGACCGAACUGGUAUCCCCCCUUCUUCAGGCGCGCCUCACACUCACUCACCAUUCACUCAUAUCGCAGAGUUCUGGCUGGGAUCGAACCAGCAACCCCUGAAGCCAUGGGGCAGCGCUCUUACCACAGAGCCACAGAUCUCCUGACUGAAUACUUGCUGGAACUGAAGUUAGACUGCUGACCUGUGUGUGAGCUGUUUCAAUAAAACAAGAAAGAAGUCAGACUUGA